GUGGCAUGCAUGGCCGCCACGCCGAUACAACAGUUUUGCAUCAGUGGUUUGUGACUUCGGCUGUAUUGCGUUUUUUCGCCGACGGCUUACUACCACAAUGGCGGGGUCUGCGUUCGCUACCUUCGUUCUCGAUCCGCCUUUGUACGUCGCACAUUCGAUAGCACUUUUUCAGACGGCGGGACAUCUUGGUGUCUGAGCGCCAGCUGGAUGGGCGGGACCUCAUCAUUAUGAUCAGUGAUGUAUGUUUUGCUGCUUGGAUUGAUAAAACAUGGGCCAAGGUUUCCAUACAAGAACAAAGUUCAAUUUGGCUGUACCACCAUCAGUGCUUGGGUGGCGCCUGCCGAAUGAAUCAUCGUAGAUUUUGCUUGCCUCAUCGACAGGCGUGAACAUAUCAAGUGCACUUCACGCUUGUCGUUUCUCGCGGCCGGGAAGUGUCGCCGUCGGUCACCUGGGACUGAUGGAUGAGCAAUUAGUCCCCAGACUGCAAUGGGUCCUCGGCCUCGUGCAUAGCUGAAACGGCAACGAGAGACCCUUGGUGUGUUUCCGUGAAUUACCAGCGCCACCCGAACUACGACUAGUCCCGGCGCCGACUGCGACGCGCCAACCUGGAGCCCUUUCGAGACAACAGCCACCGACCCCUGGAAAUGGUGGCUUCCGUGAACUGCCCGCUACGGAGAGGCGACUCUUGCAAAGGGUCAGCAUCUACCAAUCCUGUGGGAGCCAGAUCAACGUUCGGUUCCCAAGGUGUCGACUGCUGCCUGUGUUCGGGGGCGACCUGGCAAGAUUGGAGGCGGAGCCCAGCGGGAAACGAUGGCACAUCAUGUUCGGGAUAUGGCGACCUGGUCCAAGAUGGUGAUUGGCUAAGAACUAAAGUGCAUUGCCUCGUCGAGUGAAGGAGAGGAAACGAAAGGGAUAAAACAAUGGGACUUGAGUGUUGUGAAGACGCUCUAUGUUGAAUGCUUGGAGAUGUAAACGCUACUACGUGCAAAGAUGUUAGCAUGUAGACUGCUCCAAUAUCAUGAAG
rnacentral:lncRNA from 1 species